rnacentral:rRNA from 1 species
GACGAACGCUGGCGGCGGGCUUAACACAUGCAAGUCGAACGGAAAGGCCCUGCUUGUGUGGGGUGCUCGAUUGGCGAACGGGUGAGUAACACGUGAGUAACCUGCCCUUCACUUUGGGAUAACUUCAGGAAACUGGGGCUAAUACCGGAUAGGAGCUCCUGCUGCAUGGUGGGGGUGGGAAAGUUUAGGCGGUUGGGGAUGGACUCGCGGCUUAUCAGCUUGUUGGUGGGGUAGUGGCUUACCAAGGCAUUGACGGGUAGCCGGCCUGAGAGGGUGACCGGCCACAUUGGGACUGAGAUACGGCCCAGACGGCAACGGGAGGCAGCAGUGGGGAACAUUGUACAAUGGGCGGAAGCCUGAUGCAGCAACGCCGCGUGCGUGAUGACGGCCUUCGGGUUGUAAACCGCUUUCGCCUGUGACGAAGCGUGAGUGACGGUAAUGGGUAAAGAAGCACCGGCUAACUACGUG